rnacentral:rRNA from 1 species
AAUCCUGGCUCAGAUUGAACGCUGGCGGAAUGCUUUACACAUGCAAGUCGAACGGCAGCACGGACUUCGGUCUGGUGGCGAGUGGCGAACGGGUGAGUAAUAUAUCGGAACGUGCCCAGUCGUGGGGGAUAACGUAGUGAAAAUUACGCUAAUACCGCAUACGAUCUAAGGAUGAAAGCGGGGGAUCGCAAGACCUCGCGCGAUUGGAGCGGCCGAUAUCAGAUUAGGUAGUUGGUGAGGUAAAGGCUCACCAAGCCAACGAUCUGUAGCUGGUCUGAGAGGACGACCAGCCACACUGGAACUGAGACACGGUCCAGACUCCUACGGGAGGCAGCAGUGGGGAAUUUUGGACAAUGGGGGCAACCCUGAUCCAGCAAUGCCGCGUGAGUGAAGAAGGCCUUCGGGUUGUAAAGCUCUUUUGUCAGGGAAGAAACGGUGGGGGCUAAUAUCCUCUGCUAAUGACGGUACCUGAAGAAUAAGCACCGGCUAACUACGUG